rnacentral:misc_RNA from 1 species
GCUUAUCUGCUCUCCUCCAUGGUAAGCUCUCUGAUUUAUUUAUUUUUUUCAUUUUUAAUUUUAAUUUUUCAAUGCGUCAAAAUUCCAUUGACGAACCAGACAUUAGGCUUAUGCUUUUUGAGUUGGUUUAGGUUACACAAUAUUGCCGCUCCAGCUGUUACUGUCUCUAAAGCUACAUGUUAUACUUUGAAUUUUCUUUCGUCUUAUAAAUAAAUAAAGCGGUAAAUGGCAUCAGGUUCAGGUUGGGCUGAUUCAUGAUUGUGUUGAUUGUUGAAUUAAGUCCCUGCUUCUGCCUGCAAACAUUCUUAGAUUGGGAAAUACGCAAAUCUGGCAGCGCGUAUGGUGUUGUCUUUGCUUUGUUUUAGUUAUUUUUUUACUUUUAUGCCACCAACAUCUGCCACAGGCUCUCAUGAUUUGCCGCACAAGCUUGCAUCGGGCGAAUUAAUAAUGGAGCCACCGACAUAUCGUUUUCUUUUACCAUUUUUUUUAAUUACGCAAACAUACAUCAUCUUUGCUCUACUUUUGCUCCUUGAAGCGAGCAUUGGAUUGGACACAUUCUUGGGUGAUUUUACAAUUCUAUUUCUUUUUUAUUUUUAAGUGGGAAGUAUGGACAAUUUUGCAGUCAAAACCAAUUUUAUUUCUAAGAAUUACGCAUAACUGGAGCUGGUCCGCUGAUUUCAACUGCAGGUAGUAGAGGGUCAGGCCGGACA